rnacentral:rRNA from 1 species
UACGGAAGGCAGCAGUGGGGAAUAUUGGACAAUGGGCGAAAGCCUGAUCCAGCCAUGCCGCAUGAGUGAAGAAGGCCUUCGGGUUGUAAAGCUCUUUUAGUGAGAAAGAUAAUGACGGUACUCACAGAAGAGGUCCUGGCUAACUCCGUGCCAGCAGCCGCGGUAAUACGGAGAGGGCUAGCGUUAUUCGGAAUUAUUGGGCGUAAAGAGCGCGUAGGCUGAUUAGUAAGUUAAAAGUGAAAUCCCAAAGCUUAACUUUGGAAUUGCUUUUUAAAACUGCUAGUCUAGAGAUUGAAAGAGGAUAGAGGAAUUCCUAGUGUAGAGGUGAAAUUCGUAAAUAUUAGGAGGAACACCAGUGGCGAAGGCGUCUAUCUGGUUCAAAUCUGACGCUGAGGCGCGAAGGCGUGGGGAGCAAACAGGGAUUAGAUACC